UACGAAGGGGGCUGGCGUUGCUCGGAAUCACUGGGCGUAAAGGGUGCGUAGGCGGGUCUUUUAAGUCAGGGGUGAAAUCCUGGAGCUCAACUCCAGAACUGCCUUUGAUACUGAAGAUCUUGAGUUCGGGAGAGGUGAGUGGAACUGCGAGUGUAGAGGUGAAAUUCGUAGAUAUUCGCAAGAACACCAGUGGCGAAGGCGGCUCACUGGCCCGAUACUGACGCUGAGGCACGAAAGCGUGGGGAGCAAACAGGG
rnacentral:rRNA from 1 species